rfam:Candidatus Portnoybacteria bacterium RIFCSPHIGHO2_12_FTLL_40_11 rifcsphigho2_12_scaffold_19174, whole genome shotgun sequence.
GCGCCCGUAGCUCAGCGGAUAGAGCAUCAGCUUGCGGAGCUGGGGGUCAGAGGUUCAAAUCCUCUCGGGCGCG